GCGGAUGUAGCCAAGUGGAUCAAGGUAGUGGAUUGUGAAUCCACCAUGCGCAGGUUCAAUUCCCGUCGUUCGCC
rnacentral:tRNA from 1 species